rnacentral:lncRNA from 1 species
GUCACCUGUGUGGAGCUGUGCAUGAAAAUCGGAUCCCAGCUGCAGGCAAGGGAACACUGGAAGAAGACUGCAAGGAGUAGUCGUAUCACAGCUGCAGUUGUGGUUAUUAUUCAUCAUCUUGCUACAUACAGCACUCAGCUUGUGCUGAGCAGGGAGAGCUGUGAUCCCCGUUAUUAUCAAUACCCAGUGCUGUACCAGUGCCUCAGCAAAGGUGGGGUGCAGCCUGGUCCUGACACUUCUUUGCAACUGCCUCCGGAGCCAGUCCCGCUUUGUACUGCUGUGCGUCCUUAGAAAAUAGGCUGCCAGGUGCUGAACACCCACAGUUUGGAGUGAUCACUCAUGGAUGUAUGUCUCUGAUGGUCUCAGAGAGUGUGGGCUGAACUCCAUCCUCUUUCAUCUGGGUCCUGGAGGCAUUCUCAGUCCUGCUCCCUCCACCUCUGCACCUGAUGUCCUUGCCAAGCACAUUGGGAAGAAGCUCCAUCCUGGAGCACAACAGCAUACAC